UAGAGUUUGAUCCUGGCUCAGAUUGAACGCUGGCGGCAGGCCUAACACAUGCAAGUCGAACGGUAACAGGAAGCAGCUUGCUGCUUCGCUGACGAGUGGCGGACGGGUGAGUAAUGUCUGGGAAACUGCCUGAUGGAGGGGGAUAACUACUGGAAACGGUAGCUAAUACCGCAUAACGUCGCAAGACCAAAGAGGGGGACCUUCGGGCCUCUUGCCAUCGGAUGUGCCCAGAUGGGAUUAGCUAGUAGGUGGGGUAACGGCUCACCUAGGCGACGAUCCCUAGCUGGUCUGAGAGGAUGACCAGCCACACUGGAACUGAGACACGGUCCAGACUCCUACGGGAGGCAGCAGUGGGGAAUAUUGCACAAUGGGCGCAAGCCUGAUGCAGCCAUGCCGCGUGUAUGAAGAAGGCCUUCGGGUUGUAAAGUACUUUCAGCGGGGAGGAAGGUGUUGAGGUUAAUAACCUCAGCAAUUGACGUUACCCGCAGAAGAAGCACCGGCUAACUCCGUGCCAGCAGCCGCGGUAAUACGGAGGGUGCAAGCGUUAAUCGGAAUUACUGGGCGUAAAGCGCACGCAGGCGGUCUGUCAAGUCGGAUGUGAAAUCCCCGGGCUCAACCUGGGAACUGCAUUCGAAACUGGCAGGCUAGAGUCUUGUAGAGGGGGGUAGAAUUCCAGGUGUAGCGGUGAAAUGCGUAGAGAUCUGGAGGAAUACCGGUGGCGAAGGCGGCCCCCUGGACAAAGACUGACGCUCA
rnacentral:rRNA from 1 species